AUUGAACGCUGGCGGCAUGCCUUACACAUGCAAGUCGAACGGUAACAGGUCUUCGGAUGCUGACGAGUGGCGAACGGGUGAGUAAUACAUCGGAACGUGCCCAAUCGUGGGGGAUAACACAUCGAAAGAUGUGCUAAUACCGCAUAAGAUCUACGGAUGAAAGCGGGGGACUCGCAAGAGCCUCGCGCGAAUGGAGCGGCCGAUGGCAGAUUAGGUAGUUGGUGUGGUAAAAGCGCACCAAGCCGACGAUCUGUAGCUGGUCUGAGAGGACGACCAGCCACACUGGGACUGAGACACGGCCCAGACUCCUACGGGAGGCAGCAGUGGGGAAUUUUGGACAAUGGGCGCAAGCCUGAUCCAGCAAUGCCGCGUGCAGGAUGAAGGCCUCGGUUGGUAACGUAGCUUUGUUACUAGAACGAAAAAG
rnacentral:rRNA from 1 species